rnacentral:rRNA from 1 species
AGCAGCCGCGGUAAUUCCAGCUCCAAUAGCGUAUAUUAAAGUUGCUGCAGUUAAAAAGCUCGUAGUUGAAUUUCGGGAUCAAUAUAUCGGUCGUGCCUUGGUACGUACUGGUAUCAUUGGUUUCUCCUUUCUGACGAACCAUGAUGUCAUUAAUUUGGUGUUAUGGGAAGUUAGGACUGUUACUUUGAAAAAAUUAGAGUGUUUAAAGCAGGCUUUGGCUUGAAUACAUUAGCAUGGAAUAAUGAAAUAGGACGUUCGAACCUAUUUUGUUGGUUUCUAGGAUCAACGUAAUGAUUAAUAGGGAUAGUUGGGGGCAUUAGUAUUCAAUUGUCAGAGGUGAAAUUCUUGGAUUUAUUGAAGACUAACUACUGCGAAAGCAUUUGCCAAGGAUGUUUUCAUUAAUCAAGAACGAAAGUUAGGGGAUCGAAGACGAUCAGAUACCGUCGUAGUCUUAACCAUAAACUAUGCCGACUAGGGAUCGGAUGAUGUUAAUUUUUUAAUGACUCA